rnacentral:rRNA from 1 species
AGAGUUUGAUCAUGGCUCAGGAUCAACGCUGGCGGCGUGCAUGAGACAUGCAAGUCGAACGGACAACUCGGGGCUUGCUCUGAGUUGUUAGUGGCGGACGGCUGAGUAACGCGUAGGUGACCUGCCCCGAAGUGGGGAAUAACUGCCCGAAAGGGUGGCUAAUACCGCAUGUGGUGAUGCGUUCGAUCGCAUCAGUAAAGCCGCAAGGCGCUACGGGAGGGGCCUGCGUCCGAUUAGCUCGUUGGUGGGGUAACGGCUCACCAAGGCGACGAUCGGUAGGUGGUCUGAGAGGACGAUCACCCAGACUGGGACUGAGACACGGCCCAGACUCCUACGGGAGGCAGCAGUCGGGAAUUUUGCGCAAUGGACGAAAGUCUGACGCAGCAACGCCGCGUGAGGGAUGACGGCCUUCGGGUUGUAAACCUCUUUUGUCAGGGACGAUGAUGACGGUACCUGACGAAUAAGCCACGGCUAACUACGUGCCAGCCGCCGCGGUAAUAC